rnacentral:misc_RNA from 1 species
UACGGAGGGAGCAAGAUUUAAUCGGAAUUACUAGGCGUAAAGCGCAAGCAGGCGGUCUGUCAAGUCGGAUGUGAAAUCCUCGGGCACAACCUGGGAACUGCAUACGAAACUGGCAGGCUAGAGUCUUGUAGAGGGGGGUAGAAUUCCAGGUGUAGCGGUGAAAUGCGUAGAGAUCUGGAGGAAUACCGGUGGCGAAGGCGGCCCCCUGGACAAAGACUGACGCUCAGGUGCGAAAGCGUGGGAGCAAACAGG